AUUGAACGCUGGCGGCAGGCCUAACACAUGCAAGUCGAGCGGAUGAGAAGAGCUUGCUCUUCGAGUUAGCGGCGGACGGGUGAGUAAUGCCUAGGAAUCUGCCUGGUAGUGGGGGACAACGUUUCGAAAGGAACGCUAAUACCGCAUACGUCCUACGGGAGAAAGCAGGGGACCUUCAGGCCUUGCGCUAUCAGAUGAGCCUAGGUCGGAUUAGCUAGUUGGUGAGGUAAUGGCUCACCAAGGCGACGAUCCGUAACUGGUCUGAGAGGAUGAUCAGUCACACUGGAACUGAGACACGGUCCAGACUCCUACGGGAGGCAGCAGUGGGGAAUAUUGGACAAUGGGCGAAAGCCUGAUCCAGCCAUGCCGCGUGUGUGAAGAAGGUCUUCGGAUUGUAAAGCACUUUAAGUUGGGAGGAAGGGCAGUAAGCGAAUACCUUGCUGUUUUGACGUUACCGACAGAAUAAGCACCGGCUAACUCUGUGCCAGCAGCCGCGGUAACA
rnacentral:rRNA from 1 species